rnacentral:rRNA from 1 species
AGAGUUUGAUCCUGGCUCAGGACGAACGCUGGCGGCGCGCCUAACACAUGCAAGUCGAACGAGAGAGAAGGAGCUUGCUUCUUCGAUCGAGUGGCGAACGGGUGAGUAACGCGUGAGGAACCUGCCUCAAAGAGGGGGACAACAGUUGGAAACGACUGCUAAUACCGCAUAAGCGCACGGCAUCGCAUGAUGCAGUGUGAAAAACUCCGGUGGUAUAAGAUGGACCCGCGUUGGAUUAGCUAGUUGGUGAGGUAACGGCCCACCAAGGCGACGAUCCAUAGCCGACCUGAGAGGGUGACCGGCCACAUUGGGACUGAGACACGGCCCAAACUCCUACGGGAGGCAGCA